AACGAACGUUAGCGGCGCGCCUAACACAUGCAAGUCGCACGAGAAAGGGCUUCGGCCCCGGUAAAGUGGCGCACGGGUGAGUAACACGUGGGUAAUCUGCCCUCGAGCAGGGGAUAACAUUCCGAAAGGAGUGCUAAUACCGUAUAAGACCACGACCUCGAAAGAGGAUGCGGUCAAAGCUGGCCUCUAUACAUAAGCUAGCACUUGAGGAUGAGCCCGCGGCGCAUCAGGUAGUUGGUGAGGUAAUGGCUCACCAAGCCUAAGACGCGUAGCUGGUCUGAGAGGAUGAUCAGCCACACUGGAACUGAGACACGGUCCAGACUCCUACGGGAGGCAGCAGUGGGGAAUCUUGCGCAAUGGGCGAAAGCCUGACGCAGCGACGCCGCGUGAGUGAUGAAGGCCUUCGGGUUGUAAAGCUCUGUGGGGAGAGACGAAUAAGUGCAGCCUAAUACGUUGCAUGAUGAUGGUAUCUCCUUAGCAAGCACCGGCUAACUCUGUGCCAGCAGCCGCCGUAAUAC
rnacentral:rRNA from 1 species